rnacentral:lncRNA from 1 species
GGAAGCCACGGUGAGGAGAAUCCUUCAUUCUCUGCCCCUAUAGAGAAAUCCCUAAGGAGAAAAGCAUUCAGAUAAUGGUCACUUUAUACCUGAAUGACGUGUGGACCUGGUUACAGCUGGAGAGAAAGUCAUAUCCAAGAGCCAAGUUAAUUGCAGCAACCUCUUCUCUUUAGGUCCCUACUUAGCCACUCAUCACAUUUCCCCUCUUCAAAUCCAAGCAUCUCUUAUGUCAAUAACAGUGUCUCCCAUAGAAGAUGCCAUGAUGAGCUUCCCGGACAUCAUAGCUGAACUCCCUCCAGAAAUCAUCUUCAGCUGAAAGGAGCCACCUCACUCAAGGUUACAACCCCUCCCCCAGGCCUUCUACUGUAUCUUGACCUCCCACCAUCUCCUGUUUCUCAGAUGAAGAAACCAAGGCACAAAAGCUUUAAGUGGCUCUACUUAAGUCAUAUUGCCAGAAGUGGCAGCGCUAAGGCUAGAUCCCAGAACCCCAGAUGUUUCAUGUCCCACUCCACAACAUGAACUAGCUCUCCUGCUCAGUGUGCUCAGAAUCAGCUGGACUCUGGCUGCCUUUUCCAAACGGGAUCAGUGGAAUGGCAUUCUCACUUAGAUCGCAGAACUCCUCACCAAAUAUAAAACUGAAAAUGUAGGCCACCUGCCCAUGUGAUUGUAUUUCAUAACUCAGAACUAACAAUAGCUUUCAGCUUGCUU